rnacentral:rRNA from 1 species
GAUGAACGCUGGCGGCAUGCCUAAUACAUGCAAGUCGAACGAGAGGAAGGAAAGCUUGCUUUCCUGAAUCUAGUGGCGAACGGGUGAGUAACACGUAGGUAACCUGCCCAUGUGCCUGGGAUAACUUCUGGAAACGGAUGCUAAAACCGGAUAGGUAGCAGACAAGCAUUUGACUGCUAUUAAAGUGGCCUUGGCCAUGAACAUGGAUGGACCUGCGGUGCAUUAGCUGGUUGGUGAGGUAACGGCCCACCAAGGCGACGAUGCAUAGCCGGCCUGAGAGGGCGGACGGACACAUUGGGACUGAGACACGGCCCAAACUCCUACGGGAGGCAGCAGUAGGGAAUUUUCGUCAAUGGGGGGAACCCUGAACGAGCAAUGCCGCGUGAGUGAGGAAGGUCUUCGGAUCGUAAAGCUCUGUUGUAAGAGAAAAACGACAUUCAUAGGGAAUGAUGAGUGAGUGAUGGUAUCUUACCAGAAAGUCACGGCUAACUACGUGCCAGCCGCCGCAGUAA